UACGGAGGGUCCGAGCGUUAUCCGGAAUCAUUGGGUUUAAAGGGUCCGUAGGCGGUCAGGUAAGUCAGUGGUGAAAGCCCAUCGCUCAACGGUGGAACGGCCAUUGAUACUGCCUGACUUGAAUUACUGGGAAGUAACUAGAAUAUGUAGUGUAGCGGUGAAAUGCUUAGAUAUUACAUGGAAUACCAAUUGCGAAGGCAGGUUACUACCAGUUUAUUGACGCUGAUGGACGAAAGCGUGGGGAGCGAACAGG
rnacentral:rRNA from 1 species